UGCCCAGCAACUCCUAUCCCUACCUCCUCGCUGUACUGGCCGGAAUACGAGUAAUCUUAGGGAAGG
rnacentral:ribozyme from 1 species